ACAUGCCUACAACAUAGCGUUAAUGCACCGAAUCCCAUUAGAACUACACAAUUAAGUGCGCUCGGGCUAGAGUAGUAAUGGGAUGGGUGACCGCCCGGGAAGUCUUAGUGUUUUACAUGCC
rnacentral:rRNA from 1 species